GGGCCCGCACAAGCGGUGGAGCAUGUGGUUUAAUUCGAUGAUACGCGAGGAACCUUACCAGGGCUUAAAUGUAAGUUGCAUUAGUUAGAGAUGGUCUUUUCUUCGGACUACUUACAAGGUGCUGCAUGGUUGUCGUCAGCUCGUGCCGUGAGGUGUCAGGUUAAGUCCUAUAACGAGCGCAACCCCUGUUGUUAGUUGCCAUCGAGUCAUGUCGGGAACUCUAACAAGACUGCCGGUGCAAACCGUGAGGAAGGUGGGGAUGACGUCAAAUCAUCACGGCCCUUACGUCCUGGCUACACACGUGCUACAAUGGCCGGUACAGAGAGCAGCCACUACGCGAGUAGGCGCG
rnacentral:rRNA from 1 species